CUUGGCAAUAGCAUCGCCAUCAGCUUCAGCAGCAGCAGCAACGGCAUCAUCUCGACCCUGGAUUAAAUUCGCCACUCUGUGGCCACAGCGCCCUCUAGCGCCGGCCGCAUUGAACUACAACUCCCCUGGUCCCUGUGCCCGAGACCCCGUUAUUUGUCUGGCUGCGCAGGGAAGAAAGAGACGUCUUGGAUCGUGAGCUGCGUCCCUCGUCAGCGAUGUCAGCCCCCGGCGGAGGAAUGCGCCUGUGUCUGUGGGGCCUCCUCGUGUUCAUCAUGGCCAACGCAAUGGGCCCCAGGGCCGUGCAGGGCUGCUCCUGUGCUCCGUCGCACCCGCAGCAGGCGUUCUGUGCAGCGGACCUGGUUACACGUGCCAGGGUGGUGGGCGAGGCGGUGGUGGCCGGCCCAGAGGGAUCGGCGAGCAUCCAGUACGAAAUAUCCCUGCUCCAGGUGUUCAAAGGCCCAGGAGGGCCGGGCGACGCGACGCACCUGUACACGAACCGCGAGGGCUACCUGUGUGGUGCAAAACUCAAGACGGACACUGAGUACCUGCUGGCAGCGCGCCGAGUCGAGGAUAAGCUGCGCAUCUCCCUGUGCGACCUCGCCAAGCCUUGGGCGAGCGUGAGCCCUGCUCAGGCACAGAACCUGGCCGGGGAGUACGGGCGCGGCUGUGGUGUCUGCUCGAUCAAACUCUGCUACGCGAGCGAGUGUGAACGCUCGGUGCCGGGUGAGUGCACCGGCUCCUACCACGACAUGUUCGGGCUGGACGGUCGCCGACUGUCCGAGGAGCAUGCGUGCCUGCAGACCGAGCCACGUCCCGGUUCCAGCCCCGGUCCUGACACCUGCCAGUGGGUGCAGGGCCACUUGCCUAACAACACCGUCGCUGUUGUCGUCACCACCAGCACCGCGGAGGGCACGGAUCACGUUCCGGCAACUUGGGAUAAUUCUGCGGGGCAGUAAACACGUGGUCGCAUAUAUAGGCUGCCGCCCAUACCAGUGUUACCACCGCAGUAGUAUUAUACACUUGCCAACGCUACUGAUCGUAAUAGAACAACACGCAAAGGUGUGCUCUGCUCACGACAGCAGGGAGGCACGUCUCCCAUCAUGCCGUGCACGCCAUGAGAUCACCACACUGCAUGUAUAAUCCUUUCAGCAUUGUCCAGACCACCGAACUGAACAUGGCUGUAUCAUGGACAAGGCUGAGAGCCUUGUACGUGCAAUCUGGUGGGCACAUGCAUGCCAAGGCAGGAUGGGAGACGUGCCUUCAUGCUAUUGUGAGCAGCACACCUUUGUGGGUUGUUUUUUCUGUUUACAUCCUGCACGCAUUAUUUAUGUUUUGAUGGAUUUUCUCAUUAUUUACUAAAUGUAUUGGAUUUGAACUCCCGAUUUAACAAGUAGGCUGCUGAUUUGUAAACUCUUUUACCGCAUGUACGCUGGGAAGAGUAGGCCAAACACCCAGUCUAGAGUCUCUCUCAAGCUGCCACGUAUGGAGGCCCUUCUGCCGGCAGUGGUGUCAGCAAGUGAGGUUCAGGGCUGCACCUUUACGUUUCAAUUAUUUAAAAAGCUUAUGACACUGUUCUGCUUCAUUGUAACCUCAUUUGCCAGGUAAAAAACCAAUUAUCACUGUGCUUCUUUAUAAAAAAAUGUUGGGAAAAAUAAUGAAUUCGCGAUGCGAUUUUAGCUUUGAAGAUCGGUUGUGCAGAAUCGAGGGAUUACAAAUCAGCAGCUUUGCCACUUAAAUCCGUGGGGUUGGCAAGUAAAGUUUGUAUUGCGAGAACCCAAAACGAUGGCAUCGUUAUUUAUUUAACUAGGGAAAAUGCUGAAACGUAGAAAGUUGCCUGUCAUUGAAUUAAAGCUUUUGUGACUGCAGGAAUUCAUAUUCUUUGGGUCUUUCGGUGAAGUCACGAAGAUAGGUUCGAAGUAUUUAACAAAAAACUACGCUUCGAUCAAAACACAAGCGUUCGUCAUCAUCUUCCUGAUGACGAACGCUUCCGUUGCGAUCGAAACGUCGUAGUUUUUUGUUAUUUUCCUUGAACCUAUCUACGUGACUUUAGCGAAAGCCCCAAAGAAAGUUGCCUGUCAUUUAGUUUUCGCGUGGCGUUAAUUGUUGAGAAUGCAGACUAAGCUGUGUGCGUUGGAAGGAAGCCUUUCUGGGCCGCUACGUUUGCGUUGUAGACGUGAGGUCUUCGUGGAAUUGCUUCAGCCGGACACAUCCCAGCUGAUGGGCCACUCUCUCGCGUUACACAACCACGCCGAUUCUUGGAUGACCUCGAUCCCAACAAAUUGACCUUCGGCCAAACUCUUCGGAUUUUCAUCGGCGUCCAGUCGCGAGUGAAACUUUUCCACGCGUCGCACGGAAGAAAAAUGUUUUUUCACUCCGACCAUUCCUUGCGAUACGGUACAGGCGGUGCUUAAUUUUCUCACUCGACAUUUUCCGGAACGAUAAUCGGCUGGCUUGGGUGUAGGGAUUAUCGGCAUAAGGACAAUACCGCUCGGGUCAAAGGUACACCUAUCCAUAUUUUAUUAUUAUGCCCUAUAUUCAUUUGACGAUAUGGGCAGGUUUAGGACCAAAUUAGGAGACGUGGAUGUGACGCACCAAAAUAAUCCACAGAGCAAUGUUCUGGCUGACAUUAAGCACUACACACGAUACUUAUAAAAUAGAAAUGUUUGACUCUUACUAAACAUUACUUAUCAUACGUACUAAGGGUGUUAAGGGUCAUGGUUUCCAAUUAUUAUUUUUUCAUGCCGAUAAAAUAGCCACUCGAGUGUGUGUUCACAGUGGAUGACUGCUUGGCAGUCACAAUCCCUCGAAAAGCACCGAUGCCAAAGGACUUUCAGAGGGCAGUACAGCCAGAGAAAUGUCACUCUCCCAAGCGCUCGCACGAAAAUGCCUUUGUCGAUAUAUAAUGUCACGUUCAUAUUCGAAUGCGGAUUUGAAUGGGGAGAUAUGUGGAUUUAAAUCAAGAGGGCAGAGGCCUGCUCUGGCAACACUGCUGACGAGGUUGGUGGGUGGAUGUCAAAGUCAACCAUAAACCAACACUGCCACAACCCUCACCGUGACCCUUCACCCCGCCGUGUUUAAAAACACCGCCACGGCAACCUUCAUCGCUUAUAAAUUAAACUCAACGAUGCACAUCUAAAACGUCACUAGUCACCUCUUACAUUUCUUUCGACUUUCACAUCCAGUUCCGUGUCAAUUCCACUGACACCCCCCCCGCCUUCCCGAAACCAUCUCCGAUCGUGCCGAGGUCGCCGGCAGGUGAAAAUAAAACCACUCUAACACGCUGGGCAAGAAGUCUUUAGGUUUACGUUCUCAGGAAUAUGAUUUUGUCCAAAUUUGAAGCACGUCUGUAGCCGAUGUUGUCGCUUCUGCCGAUGGUCGUCGUCGUCGUGAGCUGUGCAAUUGCGCUUACUUAACGCCUCGAUGUCUGGCGUAAAAAAACCGAGGGUUUACUAAACGGGGCACGCAGUCGAUUUGUUUAAGGGCGCUGCGGUGGCGAGAUGUUAAUUCCCUCGCCUGGUAUACAGGAGGUCGUGGGUUGGAUCCCGACCCUGACGCCUGCUGUAUAUUUGGAGUUUUCAUGUUUUCCCUAUUUAGAAAAAUGCGUUUAGAGUAUUUGACUGCUAUAAAUGUCCACGUAACAAGCCACUUCGUUGAGCUAUCACGUGGCCAGGUCGCUUCUAAAAAAAGAGCUACAUAGCUCCGUGGGCCUUAUCACUGGUGGCAUAUACAACCAGAACGCACACAGCAAGGUUGCCGAAAUAUGUUGUGUGUAAAGACUGGAGCAGGCGGCUCGUGACUGGCAAACCACAGCCAUAGUGAGAGGAACGGUGGACGCGGUUGUACCGGGUACGGAAAUAUUCUCCUAUUGCCGAUAUGGACAGACGCGGCUGAAAUUAAGCCCCUGGGUGUAACAUUCAAGAGAUGUAUAAGCACUUGCGGUCAAACGCCAUUCAAUUUCAAACAGCACUUUAAACUGGACCUCAGAUGGGAGGCAACUUGUACGCGCGCAACAUUAGUUUCCAUAGUGCAAUUUAAAUGCCGCUUUAGGUUUCAACUAGCGAAUAAGCAUGCAGUGUUACGGUUUUCAUCGUAUGGCAUUUAAAUGGUAACUCUGGAUCAUAGCAGGCUUGCACAUAAUAAAGGCCACUACUGUAUGUUGUGCCAGUGUUGCCGA